AGCAGGCUGGUCUUGAGCCCUGGGGCGAUAUCUAUCUGAGCAGGUGAAUAUCCCUCUAUAAGAGGAAAAACAAACAAAAAGCUAUUUUCUGGCUAGCCCAGGACCUGACUUAGAAACUUACCUUCUUAUCACAGGUAGGAUGGGGAGUAACCUGGAGUGAUGAUUUACAGUCAUUAUGACCACAUGCAAAAUCAAAUACACUAUAGGACACUAGAAAGAGAGGGACUGUCGAGGAAGAAGGAGAGAGAGUACAAUAAGCCCAACUUAAUAUUGGACCUUCCCACCCCCACCCUGGCUGCAACCACCUGCUGGCCCAGUCUUCAAGCUUGAAGCAUCACUAUGGCUAACUGGAAGAAAAUGAUGACUUGACUGUCCAGGCCUGGGUCAACUGUUCAUCCCUGGAGGGAACCUGCUCUCGGAUGUGAACUAAUUAGUGAGCUGCACAUCAAAAGAAGUGAAGUGUUUCUUGUAAAUAGGAUUUCAUUUAAAGCAGAUCAAAAGAAGAUUUACCCAAGUCACUACCCCAUCCUCUGAUUUUUCAAGCAUCAGGCAGACACCAAAGAGAACAACAAAAACAACAAAUCACUUCAUGUUACACAUGCUGCGGAAAGAACAACUGUGAUGCCAAAGUCAAAUAUUAAUGAGAAGGGUGAACCAAAUAUGUCUGGGGAUGGAAUUUC